rnacentral:misc_RNA from 1 species
GAAAUGCGAUAAGUAAUGUGAAUUGCAGAAUUCAGUGAAUCAUCGAGUCUUUGAACGCACAUUGCGCCCCCUGGCAUUCCGGGGGGCAUGCCUGUCCGAGCGUCAUUGCUGCCCUCAAGCCCGGCUUGUGUGUUGGGUCGUCGUCCCCCCCGGGGGACGGGCCCGAAAGGCAGCGGCGGCACCGUGUCCGGUCCUCGAGCGUAUGGGGCUUUGCCACCCGCUCGAUUAGGGCCGGCCGGGUGCCAGCCGGCGUCUCCAACCUUAUUUUUCUCAGGUUGACCUCGGAUCAGGUAGGGAUACCCGCUGAACUUAAGC